UACGUAGGGGCUAGCGUUGUCCGGAAUCAUUGGGCGUAAAGAGCGUGUAGGCGGCCCGGUAAGUCCGCUGUGAAAGUCGGGGGCUCAACCCUCGAAUGCCGGUGGAUACUGUCGGGCUAGAGUGCGGAAGAGGCGAGUGGAAUUCCCUGGGUGUACGCGGUGAAAUGCCGCAGAUAUCAGGAGGAACACCAAUUGCGAAGGCAGCUCGCUGGGACGUAACUGCGCUGAGACGCGAAAGCGUGGGGAGCGA
rnacentral:rRNA from 1 species